UUCAAGAGCUUUGAGCCUGCAGAUGUGCUGGCGAAUUCGGUUAGAUAAAUAAUUGAGUGGGGGCGGGGGGGACCGUUGCUACUGGUUUGAUUUUAUUAUAUAUUUUGUGUUCUCGUUUUGUAUUUCUAUAUUUGUAUUUGUGAAGUUCUGUGCUGUGAUCUUCGGGCGAAGGGUGAGAUACAAAUCUAGCAAUAGAUAAAAAACAAAUAAACUUUAAGCUGUCCUGAAGCGGUGAGGAUACGACUCUGGGAAGCAGCCCGCCACUACUUUGCAUAUUUCUGUGUCUGCAUUUCUCCCUAGCAGUCGCAACCUUAAGCGGGGAAUCGGUUCAGCUUGCGGCGGAAGUCCUCUGCAUGCCUAGCCAGAAGCAAGCCUCCACGAGGUACCACUGUACUAAUCCUCGCCAUGGCUAUUCGGGAGCUCUGCACCCAGUAGGAAUUGCGCCCAGAUUUCUGUGAAAACUUCCUGAUGCCACAAGCGCAUGUUCCCACACAAGUAAAUAUUAUUUGCGCAACGAUUUGGACGGCGUGCUAGGAAUUACACACACAGCAUUGUGAAAUAAAUCAGCAGUUGCAUAGCACGAGACGGGGAGAAAACGCAGCCUUAAUCAUCACGUCUUGGCACUGGCAACGUGAGGGGUCUCUCUUGCCAAGCAAGCAGAAUCCCCAUUGGAGCUAACAGCUGCCAGGGCCGUGCUGAACCAAGUCUUCUCAAAGAUGCAGCUGCUUAAGAAAAUCCCAGAGGAGUUAUUUGGGUUGCCUGAAAAGCCAUAAGUGAUCAGGCCCUUAAAAGUAAUGUGUUUGUGGAUGUGUUGCACAACAACAUGGAAGCCACCAUAGUACACAGUGCAUACAGCAUACAAAGAUUAUUUGAUGAGAUCAGGCAUAUCCACAAGAUUGCUCAAUUUCUGCAAAAGUUUGAUGUUAUGACAGGAGAAGGGAGGCCCUAAAAAAUCUAUAUCUCAGGUGUUAAAAGCCCAAGUAAAGAGAUGUUCCUUCAGCAUCUGCCAAAAGAAGAAGAGGAGGAGUUUGGAUUUGAUAUCCUGCUUUAUCACUACCCUAAGGAGUCUCAAGGGACGCAGGUGGCGCUGUGGGUUAUACCACAGAGCCUAGGACUUGCCGAUCAGAAGGUCGGCGGUUUGAAUCCCCACGACGGGGUGAGCUCCCGUUGCUCGAUCCCUGCUCCUGCCAACCUAGCAGUUCGAAAGCACGUCAAAGUGCAAGUAAAUAAAUAGGCACCGCUCCGGCGGGAAGGUAAACGGCGUUUCCGUGCGCUGCUCUGGUUCGCCAGAAGCGGCUUAGUCAUGCUGGCCACAUGACCCAGAAGCUGUACGCUGGCUCCCUCGGCCAAUAAAGCGAGAUGAGCGCCGCAACCCCAGAGUCAGUCACGACUAGACCUAACGAUCAGGGGUCCCUUUACCUUUACCUUUAAGGAGUCUCAAAGUGGCUAACAAUCUCCUUUCCCUUCCUCCCCCACAACAAACACUCUGUGAGGUGAGUGAGGCUGAGUGACUUCAGAGAAGUGUGACUAGCCCAAGGUCACCCAGCAGCUGCAUGUGGAGGAGCGGGGAAGCGAACCCGUUUCGCCAGAUUACGAGUCCACUGCUCUUAACCACUACACCACACUGGCUCCCAUGUAUAAUGAAGCUACAGUAUAUAACGAAGAUGCCAGAUGCACCUCUGUGAGGAGGUAGUGCCAUAACUUAUGGGUUGCCACCUAGAAUGUCCUCUUCUUGUCCACCAUUACCCCCAAGCUUCUGAAGGCAGUGAAAGAACCAAGAGGGCUUCCUCUGCCGAUCUUAACACUGAAGGAGGUCUGUAGAGAAAGAGGCAGCCUUUCAGGUAUUUCCUCACUAGAUGUCUUUCUCCUUCCAUUUUCUCCCCUGAGUAGCACACCAUCUUCUCAUGCCAUCAUUCUACUUCUAUGUUAUACCCUCCAAGAUUUCUCCAAUGAAAAUAGGGAUGUCCCAUUCUGAAUAUUAGUUCAAAAUACAUUUGUACAAGCAAGGAUGGAAGAAACUGGAUUAUAAAUAUGGAAUAUAACAUUAAACAGAACUGUGUGUAAAGAAAGGAAAAAGGGAGAGAAGCUCUAUUUUGCAAAAGGUUUAUGAUGGAAACUUGGAGCUGACUCUUUCCCAUCCUUUAUUAUUUUCAAAGUGAACUGAAUUACGCUAAGAGGACUUGGGAUUUAAUGUAAUUGGAAAUAUAAUUGCUUAUAUAUCUGCAGUUGGAAGGAAGGAUGAAAGGAGUCCGUGAACUGCCAAGGAACUGAUAGGGUUCUUUGUUGAGUCAUCUGCAGUUCGACAGACAGCUCUUCUUCCCAAGCUGAGAGGAAAAAUUGUGUCAAUAGAUAGUAUUUACUGAGACAGUGACUUUUGCAGCUCUUGUUAAAGUUGCAAAACAACAAAGCAUGGGACGGAGCAACGGAGAAAUUUCUGUAACUACAAUUGGAUAUCACCUCCGCCCAAGGCAUGAUGGAUAACACCAACAACCGGGGGAAAGAAAGACAUAACAUCUUACAAGGACAGGAGGAAACACAACGGACAGAAUAAUUGCCACACACAGGAAGAACAAGGAUAUAAUCUGAGUUCCUCACUUGUAGUUUUAUAAAUCAUUUAAUGUGCCAACAUGAAUAGAAGUUAUUAAUAUUGCAGUUGUUGUAUGAGGGACUAUUGUUAUGACCAGAAGGUAAUUGAAAUCAAUAAGAUUUUGGAACACAGAAAUAAAGAAAAUCAUCAAAUCUGGUACGCGGGGGGCCACUUUAUCUAAAUUAUAUAAUUCAGUAUUUGAACGAUCAGUAUUAAUUGUAUUAUAAAUUGGUAUUGUUAUAAUGAGGCUAUGAUUGGACUGUAAUUGAAAACAAAUAAAAAAUAUUAAAAGAAAUUAAAGAAAAUGAUCUUAUGCA